CAGUAGCCGCGUAAUACGUAGGUGGCAAGCGUUGUCCGGAAUUAUUGGGCGUAAAGGGCUUGCAGGCGGUUUCUUAAGUCUGAUGUGAAAGCCCCCGGCUCAACCGGGGAGGGUCAUUGGAAACUGGGAAACUUGAGUGCAGAAGAGGAGAGUGGAAUUCCACGUGUAGCGGUGAAAUGCGUAGAGAUGUGGAGGAACACCAGUGGCGAAGGCGACUCUCUGGUCUGUAACCGACGCUGAGGAGCGAAAGCGUGGGGAGCGAACAGGAUUAGAUACCCCAGUAGUCCCUGUCUCUUAUACA
rnacentral:rRNA from 1 species